CACAGUCGGUGAACCUUGCGCCGUCUGCCUCAAGUCCCCGCUUGGCAAAACCACUCCCUCCUGGUGGACACCCUCACCAUGAAGAGUUAUAGUAAGGUGUUGGUGAAGGCUGGCUGCUCUGGUUGCUAAUAGAGACCCGGCCUGCCACACUCCUGAGACACAGAAGACCAGCCUAUCCCUCCCUUGCCUGCCGUGACACUGCCCUGCAGGUGGCUGGCCAAGAGAAGCCUGCCCGGUGAUGCUGAGGCACGGAACUGAGCAGAGGAGGAAGGAACGCCUGGGAGCAGCUGAGCCGAGCCCCUGCCACCAGCCGCCUCCGCACGCCCGUGGAAUCAGCACUUUCUGCUUCCCGCCCCUGAGAGCCUUGCUCUGGAGCCACUCACAGCCAAUUAAGUGGGGAGGUUGUAAGAGACUCUAAAAUACGUGGAGCUGGCUGAGGACGCGGGCCCGACCCCAUUAUGUGUGUGAGGCCACUGAUUAAAGAGUUAUCUGUCACCAGGUGUCGCCAA
rnacentral:antisense_RNA from 1 species